ACUGAAAGCUCCCAUCUGCAUCUCCAUCCCCGGCCUCCUGUUUGCACCUCCUGUGCAGUGUGAAUUUAAGCCCGCAGGCUCCUGUCUGCUCCUCCUGACCGCCUCUCCUGCUGUGUGUGUGUUUUUUUUUUUUAUUCCUCCCUAGACUUCUCAAUGAAGGAGCCUGACGCAAUCAAGCUCUUCAUCGGGCAAAUCCCCCGAAACCUGGAGGAGAAGGACCUGAAGCCCAUCUUCGAGCAGUUUGGAAAGAUCUACGAGUUGACGGUGAUAAAGGACAAAUACACAGGGAUGCACAAAGGAUGUGCCUUCCUGACAUAUUGUGCACGUGAGUCCGCCCUCAAAGCCCAGAAUGCACUGCACGAGCAGAAGACACUACCCGGGAUGAACCGCCCAAUCCAAGUGAAGCCUGCAGACAGCGAGAGCAGAGGGGAAGACAGGAAGCUGUUUGUGGGCAUGCUGGGAAAGCAGCAGACGGACACCGAUGUGAAGAAGAUGUUUGAGCCGUUCGGCAGCAUAGAGGAGUGCACGGUGCUCCGCGGGCCGGACGGCACCAGCAAAGGGUGUGCAUUUGUAAAGUACCAGAGCAACGCAGAGGCCCAGGCCGCCAUCAACACUCUGCAUGGGAGUCGUACUUUACCAGGUGCCUCGUCCAGCCUGGUGGUGAAGUUUGCUGAUUCAGAGAAGGAGCGAGGGCUGCGGCGGAUGCAGCAGGUGGCCUCUCAGCUGGGGGUCAUUAGCCCCAUGACCCUGCACCUCGGGGCCUACAACGCCUACACACAGGCCAAUAUCCAGACCCCCUCUCUCCCCUCCUAUCAAUCACCCUCCCCCCUCUCCCUCCUCCAGUUGAUGCAGCAGCAGGCCCUGGUGGCUCAGUCGGCCUACCUCUCUCCUGUUGCCACGGUGGCGGCGGUUCAGAUGCAGCAGCUCGCCGCCCUCAACCCCAACAGCAUCAUCGCCACGCCGAUCUCAUCCAUCACCCCCUCCUCAGGUGCCAGCACUCCACCCUCCAUGGCCGGCACACCGGUUCCUGCUCUGCCUCCCCCCCUCACCGUGAACAGCUACGCCUCUUUGCCAGCUCCACCCAACGGCCAUUCAGCAACUGAAGCCCUGUACACCAACGGGGUCCAUGCUUACCAAGCUCAGAGUCCGGUGCUGGACCCUAUGCAGCAAGCUUACACCGGCAUGCAGCACUACACAGCCACCUACCCCGCUGCCUACAGCCUGGUGGGACAGCCGUUCCCCCACCAGCCCACCCUGUUGGCCCAGCAGCCGCAGCAACCGCAGCAGUUGCAGCAGCUGCAGCAGCGAGAAGGUCCAGAGGGAUGCAACAUCUUCAUUUACCACCUGCCGCAGGAGUUCACCGACUCUGAGAUCCUGCAGAUGUUCCUGCCCUUCGGAAACGUCAUCUCUGCAAAGGUCUUUGUGGACCGCGCCACCAACCAGAGUAAAUGCUUUGGUUUUGUAAGUUUUGACAACCCCUCCAGCGCCCAGACUGCCAUCCAGGCCAUGAACGGCUUCCAGAUCGGCAUGAAGAGACUGAAGGUGCAGCUGAAGAGGCCCAAGGAUGCCAACAGGCCUUACUGAAGGAGACUGUCCUGUCCAUACAUAUAUCGUGGAGACGUGCGUCGCUAUGGCUACGGUUGCCUAGCAACCGCUAAAACCUCCCCCCCUCUUCCUUCUCACUGCGUUGUAAAACCUAAGAGUUCAAUCAAGAAAACCACUUGGGAUGUCCCAGCCUUUUUUGGUUGUUUGACCAACCGUAUAGCACAGGAGCAACACUUCACGAAAGCAGUAUCACGUGUAUGCGCUUACAAAAACAACAGCAGUAAUAUCGGCAACAGAAUAAAUCUACAGAAACCGCAUCCUCAAUAUCAGAAGUGCUCCAGAUUUCCUAUCAUUCCACAGCUGGAUUCAUUUAUAUUAUGUACAUACUCUAUUGUCGGCAACAAGAUCUACAUGUUAAGAAAAAGCAUAUCAUGAUGUUAUUCUUCUGAACAGGGUUCUACUGUAUAGUGUGAUUUGUGGUCCAUGGCGUUAACAGAAGGCCAGUCUGCAGUCGGAGGCAAAAGAAAAUACUAUUCUGUAUGAUUACCAUUGGUAAUAUUGUUAUGUAGAGUUAGUUUUAUUAUUUAUACGUAAAUUUUAAAAAAAAAAACAAGGGGGAGAUUACACAGGAAGAGAUUUGGAUUUCCUCACUGUAUAUACCUUGAUUUAAAAAUGGAGUUUAAAGACUUCACAAGUUAAGAUUCUCUGCUGCCACUACUUUUCAAAUUAUCAAAGCAGAAGGAAUGGCUGGGAAUUUUUCUAUCUUGAUUUUUUACGUUUAAUUUAUUUGGUAAUCAAUUUGAUGAGGUUGGAUGGGUGGAGAUGUGACAAUUUCUUUUUUAAUUUAAGAAAAAAAAAGAGGAUUCCUGUGGUCUUCAAGACAAUGAACACACUUAUUAUAGAGUUUUUAAUUACAUAAAUGUACCUAUGGAAGUAAAAAAAAAAAAACAUAAUGUUUCUUUAUUUAUUCUCUACAAUCGCUGUUUUAAAACAUAUGUCUUUAAAAGAAAAUAAAGUACAAUUUAGAAGAAAUCUUUUUUGAGUCUGCUUAACUGUCUGCUUCUCGACGUGUUAUUUACCAAAAGUUGGCAUCUUUUCUGGGUGUAAUGAUUAAAAAAUGUAUUUUUUUCUUUAUUUUGCUUGAAAAUACGACAGAAUACACUAAGGUUGUAUCAGUGUUAGAAUCAGUAAUGAGAUAUCCAGGGGAGUGUGGUGCUCUCUAUAGGCCUGAAGAAGAAUUGAGGAAAGUUUCAAAGAACAUCUGGCCUCCAGUGUUGGACUGCAUUUAACUAACGCUUUACAGGA